ACGGAAUCUCGCUCUGUCGCUGCUCAGGCUGGAGUGCAAUGGCGUGAUCUCUGCUCACUGCAACCUCCACCUCCCGGGCUCAAGCAGUUCUCCUGCCUCACCCUCCCAAGUAGCUGGGAUUACAGCUGGUGUCCGAAUGAUCUACCCAGCAUGCUUUGUUCUAGUCCCUCAGUCAGACAUUCCUACUCCUAGCCCUGUGGGAUCCACUCACUGUUCAUCUUCUUGCUUGGGUGUCCACCAAGUGCCUGCUU
rnacentral:lncRNA from 10 species